CAGUAAGGAAUAUUGGGCAAUGGACGCAAGUCUGACCCAGCCAUGCCGCGUGCAGGAUGACGGCCCUAUGGGUUGUAAACUGCUUUUGUACGGGAAGAACCCCUUCGAUGCUUCGGAGGCUGACGGUACUGUACGAAUAAGCAUCGGCUAACUCCGUGCCAGCAGCCGCGGUAAUACGGAGGAUGCAAGCGUUAUCCGGAUUUAUUGGGUUUAAAGGGUGCGCAGGCGGCAUGGUAAGUCAGUGGUGAAAUCUCCCGGCUCAACCGGGAAACUGCCGUUGAUACUGCCGUUCUAGAGUACAGUUGGGGUGGGCGGAAUGUGUCAUGUAGCGGUGAAAUGCUUAGAUAUGACACAGAACACCGAUCGCGAAGGCAGCCCACCAAGUUGUAACUGACGCUCAUGCACGAAAGCGUGGGGA
rnacentral:rRNA from 1 species